GUCAUUUUCUACCUUUCUAUUUUUCAUUCUCAUUCUCUCUCUUGAUGGAGAAGUCGAAAAAGUGACUUAGAAAUGGAGGUAUUACAUUUUCGGAGAGGAACAUCAAAUUGAUGGAAAUAUAGUGAAGAGUGAUUUCAGUCCCCGGCUGGAACAUCAAUUUGGUGAUGAAAUUUCACAUUUGACUAUCGAAAUGGGAGGUAAUCUUUCAGUCUAAGUAAAUUUUUGUGUUUUCCUUUCAGUUUUUGGGUUUGAUUAUUUUUCCCGAGAUAUUGAAUUCUUAUUUAUCAAAAUCAAAAUUAUCAUUUAUUUUUAUGUGUUUUUGAUUUGGGAAUUGGAGAAACUUUACAGGAAGCCCGCCAUUAUGAAAUGGAUGCAACAAGAAAGAAAGAGAAUUAAGUAAAACUCACUAGAAAUCUUGUGAGCAUUUGGCUUUAACUGAUUUUGCACAUGCAUGUACUCAUUCACUAUUUUGUCUCAAUUUCUUAGGUGUAGAAUGUAUUAGAAGAAUUCAGUGAGAAUAUAGAUAGGCUCUGUGAGAAAAAUUUUCAAAGAGUGAAGGCUGAAAAAAUUACCCGAACUGAAGGAGAAGUGAGUUUCUUAUCUGAAAUAUCACUAUAUGUUCGCAUAGGAGAAGUAAACUAUUGAUGGUUGACUUGUGUUUUGACAAAUAGUUGGUGAUAGUUCAUAGUUCAGUGAUGAAAUUCAAAUACCGAAUACUUAAGGAACUUUAUUGUGAAUUAUAAUCUUCCAAACUACUUAUUUUGGCUUCUCCGGGAGGUGAUGGACAGAUGUGAAAAAGAAAAGGUAGUGUAUGACUCAUGUUGGAUGGCAAUGUCAAUAUUACAGACGGUUGCAAAACACUUUCAAUGUCAUGCAUUUAUAUUUAUUUUUUACAAUUAUAUAUCAAGUAAAGAACAUAUUUUGCUAAGUUCUUUUUGGCAGAGUCCAUAGAAACAUGCCUUUGAUUUAGAUUGUGUCACGAGUGGUUCUCUCUACUAACUGUCA